GGGGAAUUUUCCGCAAUGGGCGAAAGCCUGACGGAGCAAUGCCGCGUGGAGGAGGAAGGCCCGAGGGUUGUAAACUCCUUUUCUCAGAAAAGAAGAUCUGACGGUAUCUGAGGAAUAAGCAUCGGCUAACUCCGUGCCAGCAGCCGCGGUAAGACGGAGGAUGCAAGCGUUAUCCGGAAUGAUUGGGCGUAAAGCGUCCGCAGGUGGCAAUGUAAGUCUGCUGUUAAAGAGUCUAGCUCAACUAGAUACAAGCAGUGGAAACUACAUAGCUAGAGUACGUUCGGGGCAGAGGGAAUUCCUGGUGUAGCGGUGAAAUGCGUAGAGAUCAGGAAGAACACCAGUGGCGAAGGCGCUCUGCUAGGCCGUAACUGACACUGAGGGACGAAAGCUAGGGGAGCGAAUGGGAUUAGAUACCCCAGUAGUC
rnacentral:rRNA from 1 species